rnacentral:rRNA from 1 species
UGUUAUAACCACAUCAUAUUAAAAACACUGGUUCUCAUUUGAUCACUAAAGUUAAGCAACAUCAAUCUUAGUUAAUAUUUAGAUGGGUAACUGCUUGGGAAACCUAGGGCUGUAUUCA